GAAGGAAAACGUUACUCAUGCGCAUCACAUGGAUGCCUCGACUCUGAAGUCCGAUGAAGGACGUGGCCAGCUGCGAUAAGCCUCGGUCAGCCGCUAGGCAGGCGCUAUCAGCCGGGGAUUUCCGAAUGGGGAAACCCAUGGAGGGUUAUACCUCCAUACUCGACUCUGUUUUUAAUUUUGGAAUGUCACACUUUUUAGCUUCUCGUUUUUCGCUUUUUCGAUGAUCUCUCGAAGAGAUUUAUCAGCGAGAAAUUUUUUUCGAUGAAUAGUUUUUCGUGUGUGUUUCCAAAAUUAAAAACAGAGUCGAGAGGUAACUCUGCGAACUGAAACAUCUCACGUAGCAGGAGAAGAGAAAUCAAUUGAGAUUCCCCAAGUAGUGGCGAGCGAAAGGGGAACAGCCCAAACCCACCUGCAAAGGUGGGGGUUGUAGGAGCCCAAUAUCCACUUGUCCAUUGUUAGACCAACGACCCUGGAACGGGCGGCCAUAGAGGGUGAUAGCCCCGUCGUCGAAAACAGCGGACAUUGGUAGGGAUUUCCUGAGUAGGGUCGGACACGUGAAAUCCGGCCUGAAUCUGGGUGGACCACCAUCCAAGGCUAAAAAGCUUCAGAGAUCAAUAGCGGAUAGUACCGUGAGGGAAAGGUGAAAAGCACCCCGGAAGGGGGAUGAAAUAGUUUCUGAAAUGUGAUGCGUCCAAGAAAUCGGAGCCCCGCACCCUUGUCAGUGGAAAAAUGUACCAUUCGGCAUUCAUUUGCUGAGUGUGUCCCACUUCCAAGGGUGCGGGGUGACGGUGUGCCUUUUGCAUAAUGAGCCAACGAGUUAGUCGUCUGUGGCAUGGCUAAGGGAUUUAUUUCCCCGGAGCCGGAGCGAAAGCGAGUCCGAAUAGGGCGUUUAUUGUCGCAGGCGCUAGACCCGAAACCGGGUGAGCUAUCCAUGGGCAGGGUGAAACUCCGCGAAAGCGGGGUGGAGGCCCGAACCAUAAUGUAUCGCAAGACAUUGGGAUGACCUGUGGAUAGGAGUGAAAAGCUUAUCGAACCCGGAGAUAGCUGGUUCUCCUCGAAAUGCCUUUAGGGGCAGCCUCGUCGUGUAUGACAGGGGGUAGAGCUACUGUUUGGAUGCGGGGGUCUUCUCGACCUACCAAAUCCUGACAAACUCCGAAUACCUGUCUUUAAAAGCGACGGGAGUGAGACGGUGACGGCGAAUCGCCAUCGUCACAAGGGAAAGAGCCCAGAUCAUUCGCUAAGGUCCCUAAGUAUUGUUGAGUGGAAAAGGUAGUGCGGUCGCUCGGACAACCAGGAGGUUGGCUUAGAAGCAGCCAUCCUUUAAAGAAAGCGUAACAGCUCACUGGUCGAGGGAUCGUGCGCCGAAAAUGUAACGGGGCAAAACAAUACACCGAAGCGGUGAGUACCGUAUCGCCUUCGGGCGAUACGAUGCGGUAGAGGAGCGUUCCGUUCAGCACUGAAGCAGAAUCGUGAGGUUCUGUGGAGCGGACGGAAGCGAGACUGUUGGCAUGAGUAACUACUAGGCAGGUGAAAAACUUGCCCGCCGAAUCCCCAAGGUUUCCCACGCAACGUUAAUCGGCGUGGGGUUAGUCGGUCCUAAGGUCAGGCCGAAAGGCGUAGCUGAUGGAUAACAGGUUAAUAUUCCUGUACCUCAUGGAGAUCGCCCAGGAGUGUCAGUUGAGAAUCCUGUGAGCCUCUGUUCUACUUCGGUAGAGCAUGUUCACCGGAAAGGAUACUUUCACUCUAGGAGCGGUGUGACGGAGAGGGAAGAUCAGAGCGUAUGCAUUGACUGUACGUGGAACACAUAAGACAUUGAUCCUGGGAGGCAAAUCCCUCAGGUGAGUCGAGUGUGGAUCCCAAAUAUCCCGCGCAAGCGGGAUGAGUCUGACUCUUUCUGCUUCCAAGAAAACCAUCGCGUCCGAGAGCUCUAUGAGACCGUACCGUAAACCAACGCCGGUGGGGUGGUCGAGAAGACCAAGGCGAACGAGUAAUCUUGCGUCAAGGAACUCGGCAAAAAAGCGUCCGUAACUUCGGGAUAAGGACUGACAGUGCCCGCAAGGGCACUGCCCGCAGCGAAAGAAUCCAGGCGACUGUUUACCAAAAACACAGGUCCCUGCGAAGCCGUAAGGCCAUGUAUAGGGGCUGAUGCCUGCCCAGUGUCAGAAGGUCACGGAAGGAGGUUUACGCUUCCGACCUAAGCCCUGAUGAACGGCGGCGAUAACUAUAAUCGUCCUAAGGUAGCGAAAUUCCUUGUCGGGUAGGGUCGAAAAACACCCCACUUCGCUCCGCUUCGCGGAGCUACGCGGGGCAUGCUUGCCCGAAUGCGGAGAAAUCCGCAGCACUGAGGAAACGAUUAUUGUUUUUGGUACGAAGUCUCAACCGUGAGACACCGGUUGAUGCCUGAUACGAAAGUUCAGGCGGAUUCAAAAGGACGUCUUUUAAAAAGAGUUUCUCGGUCUUUGGAACUCACCAUUCCAGAGAUUGUACCAGUCUGUUGGUUUCGCAUUCUUGUUACGUAGCAUGCUACGUAACAUUGCGGAAACCAUUCAAAAGUCCAGCCUACGCUCCUUCGGGAGCUACGGCCGGCAAACAGUGUAAAACACGGCCAUAUGCUGGAACAUCCCUUGUAUCCUCACAUGCUGUAAGGCCUGAGGUGGGGAAAAUCAGCAGGAAAGAUCUCAUGUUUCCAUGAGAAAUCCUCAGAGACUCGACGCCGUGCCCCUAAAAGAUUUGGGGUGAAGGGAGAGUCCGAUCCCUGUGGCGACACAGGGUGCCGCGAAAACGUGCGGCAGCGAAAGAACAAUCGUGUGUUAGCUUCUUAGCUUGUUAGCUUCUUAGCUUCUUAGGAGGCCGAGAGGCGAUCAUGUGCGAGGAGUUAGCAAUGGUAUGUGCGCUCCUGACGAGGGAGUUCUCCUCUAACCAAGGAGAGGAACGCCUAAAAAGCUCAUUAGCUAACAAGCUAAGAAGCUCGUAUGAAGUUCCGACCCGCACGAAUGGUAUAACGGUCUGGGUACUGUCUCGACGCAAGGCUCGGUGAAAUUUCAAUUCCGGUGCAAAUGCCGGAUGAACCAUGGAAGGACGAAAAGACCCUAUGAAGCUUUACUAUACGCUGGCAUUGUGUCGUUGGUUUGUUUGCGCAGUAUAGGUGGGAGGCUUUGAAUCCCUGCCUUUGGGUGGGGUGGAGCCGCAAUGUGAGAUACCACCCUUGUGUUCUGACGAUACUCACCCCAUAUGCGAAACGCAGUGGGAGACAGUGCUUGCUGGGUAGUUUAACUGGGGCGGUUGCCUCCUAAAAUGUAACGGAGGCGCGCAAAGGUCCACUAGCGCCGGAUGGAAAUCGGCGUGGUAGUGUAAUCGCACAAGUGGGCCUGACUGUGAGGCCAACAAGCCGAGCAGGGACGAAAGUCGGUGAUAGUGAUCCGGUGUCCGAGCAAUUUAACACUGCUCAAACCACGUGGGUGGGACAUCGCUCAACGGAUAAAAGUUACUCUAGGGAUAACAGGCUGAUCGCAUCCAAGCGCCCAUAGCGACGAUGCGGUUUGGCACCUCGAUGUCGGCUCAUCGCAUCCUGGGGGUGGAGAAGCUCCCAAGGGUUUGGCUGUUCGCCAAUUAAAGCGGUACGCGAGCUGGGUUCAGAACGUCGUGAGACAGUUUGGCCUCUAUCCUCCAUGGUCGUUUGGAUACGUGAGGGAAGCUACUCCUAGUACGAGAGGACCGGAGUGGACGAACCCCUGGUGUACCUGCUGUCACGUCAGUGGCAACGCAGGAUAGCUACGUUCGGACGGGAUAACCGCUGAAGGCAUCUAAGUGGGAAGCCCCUCCUGAGAUAACGUGUCCCCAUAAGCCCGCCGGAAGACUACCGGUUUGAUCGGUCACAGGUGUACGUGCAGUAAUGCAUUGAGCCGAGUGAUACGAACGGGCGAUUGUUUCAUUCAA
rfam:Candidatus Peribacteria bacterium RIFCSPHIGHO2_01_FTLL_51_9 rifcsphigho2_01_scaffold_23422, whole genome shotgun sequence.